rnacentral:rRNA from 1 species
UACGUAGGGUGCAAGCGUUAAUCGGAAUUACUGGGCGUAAAGCGUGCGCAGGCGGUUGUGUAAGACAGAUGUGAAAUCCCCGGGCUCAACCUGGGAACUGCAUUUGUGACUGCACAGCUGGAGUGCGGCAGAGGGGGAUGGAAUUCCGCGUGUAGCAGUGAAAUGCGUAGAUAUGCGGAGGAACACCGAUGGCGAAGGCAAUCCCCUGGGCCUGCACUGACGCUCAUGCACGAAAGCGUGGGGAGCAAACAGG